rnacentral:rRNA from 1 species
UACACUCCUACGGGAGGCAGCAGUGGGGAAUUUUGGACAAUGGGCGAAAGCCUGAUCCAGCAAUGCCGCGUGAGUGAAGAAGGCCUUCGGGUUGUAAAGCUCUUUUGUCAGGGAAGAAACGGUGAAAGCUAAUAUCUUUUGCUAAUGACGGUACCUGAAGAAUAAGCACCGGCUAACUACGUGCCAGCAGCCGCGGUAAUACGUAGGGUGCAAGCGUUAAUCGGAAUUACUGGGCGUAAAGCGUGCGCAGGCGGUUUUGUAAGUCUGAUGUGAAAUCCCCGGGCUCAACCUGGGAAUUGCAUUGGAGACUGCAAGGCUAGGAUCUGGCAGAGGGGGGUAGAAUUCCACGUGUAGCAGUGAAAUGCGUAGAUAUGUGGAGGAACACCGAUGGCGAAGGCAGCCCCCUGGGUCAAGAUUGACGCUCAUGCACGAAAGCGUGGGGAGCAAACAGGAUUAGAUACCCGUGUAGUCCCA